GACGAACGCUGGCGGCGUGCCUAAUACAUGCAAGUCGAACGCAGUGGGGACGGGUGAGUAACACGUGGGUAACCUCCCAUCAGAGGGGAUAACACUUGGCAACAGCUGCUAAACUGAUACUGAUGGAUGGACCCGCGGUGCUUGAGCUAGUUGGUGAGGUAACGGCUUACCAAGGCCACGAUGCAUAGCCGGCCUGGGAGGGUGACCGGCCACACUGGAACUUGGACACGGCCCAGACUCCUACGGGAGGCAGCAGUGGGGAAUCUUCGGCAAUGGACGAAAGUCUGACCGAGCAACGCCGCGUGAGUGAAGAAGGUUUUCGGGUCGUAAAGCUCUUUUGUUAGAGAGGCGGUAUCUGACCAGGAAGCCACGGCUAACUACGUGCCAGCAGCCGCGGUAAUUC
rnacentral:rRNA from 1 species